GUAAGAACGACGAUUUUUGAGCCU
rnacentral:sRNA from 1 species